rnacentral:rRNA from 1 species
GAUCAUGGCUCAGGAUGAACGCUAGCUACAGGCUUAACACAUGCAAGUCGAGGGGAAACGACAUCGAAAGCUUGCUUCCGAUGGGCGUCGACCGGCGCACGGGUGAGUAACGCGUAUCCAACCUGCCCACCACUUGGGGAUAACCUUGCGAAAGUAAGACUAAUACCCAAUGAUAUCUCUAGAAGACAUCUGAAAGAGAUUAAAGAUUUAUCGUGAUGGAUGGGGAGUGCGU